rnacentral:rRNA from 1 species
UACGUAGGGUGCGAGCGUUGUCCGGAAUUAUUGGGCGUAAAGCGCUUGUAGGCGGUUUGUCGCGUCUGCUGUGAAAAUCCGAGGCUCAACCUCGGACUUGCAGUGGGUACGGGCAGACUAGAGUGUGGUAGGGGAGACUGGAAUUCCUGGUGUAGCGGUGGAAUGCGCAGAUAUCAGGAGGAACACCGAUGGCGAAGGCAGGUCUCUGGGCUAUUACUGACGCUGAUGCGCGAAAGCGUGGGGAGCGAACAGG